rnacentral:rRNA from 1 species
UACGAAGGGGGCUAGCGUUGCUCGGAAUCACUGGGCGUAAAGCGCACGUAGGCGGUUUCUUAAGUCAGGGGUGAAAUCCGUGGAGCUCAACUCCAGAACUGCCUUUGAUACUGGCGAUCUUUGAGUCCGGGAGAGGGUGAGUGGAACUGCGAGUGUAGAGGUGAAAGUUCGAUUAGAUAUUCGCAAGAACACCAGUGGCGAAGGCGGCUCACUGGCCCGGUACUGACGCUGAGGUGCGAAAGCGUGGGGAGCAAACAGGG